GACGAACGCUGGCGGCGUGCUUAACACAUGCAAGUCGAACGAAGUGGCGAACGGGUGAGUAACGCGUAAUCAACCUGCCCUUCGGAGGGGGACAACAGUUGGAAACGACUGCUAAUACCGCAUACUGAAGGAGGGGAUUGCGUUUGAUUAGCUAGUUGGGGGGGUAACGGCCCACCAAGGCGAUGAUAAGUAGCCGGUCUGGUGGGAAUACCGGGCAAAUGUGGAACGGAACACGGGCCAGACUCCUACGGGAGGAAUCAGUGGGGAAUCUUCCGCAAUGGAGGGAAGUCUGACGGAGCAAAGCCGCGGGGGUGAUGACGGCCUUCGGGGUGUAAAGCUCUGUUAAUAGGGACGCGGUACCGGAAUAGAAAGCCACGGCUAACUACGUGCCAGCAGCCGCGGUAAUAC
rnacentral:rRNA from 1 species